AUUGAACGCUAGCGGGAUGCUUUACACAUGCAAGUCGAACGAGUGGCGGACGGGUGAGUAAUAUAUCGAAAAGUGCCCAGUAGCGGGGGAUAACUACUCGAAAGAGGGGCUAAUACCGCAUACUAUGGGUGCGGCCAGUAUCGGAUUGGCUAUUUGGGGGGGUAAAGGCUAACCAAGGCAACGAUCCGUAGCUGGUUUGAGAGGACGACCAGCCACACUGGGACUGAGACACGGCCCAGACUCCUACGGGAGGCAGCAGUGGGGAAUAUUGGACAAUGGGGGAAACCCUGAUCCAGCCAUCCCGCGUGUAUGAGAAGGCCUUCGGGUUGUAAAGUACUUUUGGCAGGGAAGCGGUAUCUGCAGAAUAAGCACCGGCUAACUACGUGCCAGCAGCCGCGGUAAUAC
rnacentral:rRNA from 1 species